rnacentral:rRNA from 1 species
CGCCUGUUUAUCAAAAACAUCUCUUCUCGUUAGUUUUUGAAGUAUGGCCUGCCCACUGACCUUGAAUGUUGAAGGGCCGCGGUAUUUUGACCGUGCAAAGGUAGCAUAGUCAUUAGUUCUUUAAUUGUGAUCUGGUAUGAAUGGUUUGACGAGGCAUAAGCUGUCUUAAUUUUGAAUUGUUUAUUGAAUUUGGUCUUUGAGUUAAAAUUCUUAGAUGUUUUUAUGGGACGAGAAGACCCUAUAGAGUUUGACAUUUAUUAUGGUCUCUUUCUGUUUGUGAGGGUUCACUAGGGCUGUUUAAUAUGUUUUGUUGGGGUGAUGGGAGGGAUAUUAUUUAACCCCUCCUUUGUGUUGUUAUAUUUAUUUAUAUUUGCUUGAUCCAUUUAUUUUGAUUGUAAGAUUAAAUUACCUUAGGGAUAACAGCGUAA